UUCCUAAAAACCUAGAUGUCAUUCGAACAUGGGGUCCCCCUUUUGAACUGCUGCUGAAUCCAUGGGCAGCCAAGAGACAACCUGGUGAACUGAAACAUCUUAGUAGCCAGAGGAAAAGAAAGCAAAAGUGAUUCCCGUAGUAGCGGCGAGCGAAAUGGGAGCAGCCUAAACCGUGAAAACGGGGUUGUGGGAGAGCAAUAAAAGCGUCGUGCUGCUAGGCGAAGCGGUGGAGUCCCGCACCCUAGAUGGCGAGAGUCCAGUAGCCGAAAGCAUCACUAGCUUAUGCUCUGACCCGAGUAGCAUGGGGCACGUGGAAUCCCGUGUGAAUCAGCAAGGACCAGCUUGUAAGGCUAAAUACUCCUGGGUGACCGAUAGCGAAGUAGUACCGUGAGGGAAGGGUGAAAAUAACCCCCAUCGGGGAGUGAAAUAGAACAUGAAA
rnacentral:ncRNA from 1 species